rnacentral:hammerhead_ribozyme from 1 species
ACCCAGUUGACGAGUCCCAAGUAGGACGAAACGCGCGUCUUGGAU